CGUAGGUAACCUGCCUGGUAGCGGGGGAUAACUAUUGGAAACGAUAGCUAAUACCGCAUAAAAUUGAUUAUUGCAUGAUAGUCAAUUAAAAGGUGCAAUUGCAUCACUACCAGAUGGACCUGCGUUGUAUUAGCUAGUUGGUGAGGUAAAGGCUCACCAAGGCAACGAUACAUAGCCGACCUGAGAGGGUGAUCGGCCACACUGGGACUGAGACACGGCCCAG
rnacentral:rRNA from 1 species